GUUUGGGGGUCAAACCUCAAAUUUUGGGGGGGUUUUCAGGGUGGGGGAGGGUCCCAGCCCUGGAUUUGGGGGGGUCCCCGCCCCAAAAACCGCGAAGUAUUCGGCCCCGAAUUUGGGGUUUUUAGCCCCAAAAAAAAAAAAAAAAAAAAAAAAUCGGCCCUGGAGAGGGGGCGUGGCCAAGGUGAAGCCCCGCCCCUCGGCCGGAGGCGGAGUCAGCGUGGGCACUUCCGGGUUCGGCCCCUCCCCCCUGCGCGCGAUUGGCGGAGGUGGCACCGGGGGGGUGACCGAGGUGACCUCGAGCGGGGGUGAAAACGCUCAGUUUGCAGUGGAUUUUAGGAUGAAAAAAGCGGAUUUUAGGGAUCCGUGGGGCGACUCCAGGGGUCCCCGCCGGGGGGGUCACUCCGGCCCCUCCCCCCACGCCGG